GGGGACGCUGCACGCGCUAGGCUCCUCUGGCGGCAGGAGGGCUAGCUGCUGGGCGCGCUGGCGGCUCCCACACGCUGCGAGGAGGGGCCGCGGCCGCGGAGGACUGUCAGUAUGGCUCGGGGGUGGUGUUUAAACCGGGAGUCGGGAGACGACUACGGAGGAGACAGAACCUGCGACGGCGCCGACAACUAAGGCUUUUAGCCUCUACGCUCCUCAACUCUUAAGGCCCUUCCCUCAUCCCGUUGGCCAAAUUCCGCUGCAGCUGCGUUCCCUGCCACCCCGCCAUCGGGGACCUACACGCGACAAAAUGGCUGGCACGUCUUGCGGAGUGGGGGAAGACGCGCAUGCGUCAGGCCCUGUUAGCUGUUCUCUAGGCACUCCUUGACUAACCUAUGCUACACGCCCGACUGCGAUGACACCGUUCACAGCCAGCCGACCGACUGCAUUCUAGAAAGAGGGAAUAAAAGUUAAACGAAAAUUUCUCUGAAAAGUCUUCGAAGCGAGGAAAGAGUAAUUGACAAGGUGUGGCUUCUUUGCUAGGUAGUAACAUCACAAUUUCGUAAUGCGUUAUAGGUUUGUUUUUGUUUUUUCGAGACAAGGUUUUUCUGUGUAGCCCUGGCCGUCCUGGAACUCACUCUGUAGACCAGGCUGGCCUCGAACUCAGAAAUCCACCUGCCUCUGCCUCCCAAGUGCUGGGAUUAAAGACGUGCACCACCACUGCCCUGUGCGUUACAGUUUACAAGAGUCUUGAGUAUUGUGUUUAUUAGCACAGCCUCAAAUUAACCAUUAUGGGCUGGAGAGAUGGCUCAGCACGUAGGAGCACUGACUGCUCUUCCAAAGGUCCUGAGUUAAAAUCCCAGCAACCACAUGGUGGCUCACAAUCAUCCUUAAUAAGAUCUGACGCCCUCUCUGGUGUGUCUGAAGACAGCUACAGUGUACUUAGAUAUAAUAAUAAAGAAAAUCUUUUUAAAAAAUUAACCAUUACAUUCUCAUCUGCCUGUGUGAAUCUUUUGAGAAGAUUGGACGUUCAUGUAUUCCUAUUGAACACAGGAACUUCAUUUUAAUUAUGCCAACUCAACGGAAAGGUUUUUGAGGCAAGGAGCCUGUUUCAUCAUUUAAAAUUAAUAUCUCUGUGCCAAGAACUGUUUUAGGAUUAGGGAAAUGAUGGCAAAGCAGACAAAAAUUACUCCGCCUUGAUUUGGUAUCAGGACCAAACCACAAGCAUGUGUCAGGGAGUAAGGAGUCAUAAAGAGGUAUGGAGUAAGAUUAAAGGAGAAAGACUGUGUAUAUGAAUAAUGGUGUGAUCCAGUUUUUAAAAAGAGAUUGAGAAAAAAGCAACCAAGCACAUAUGAGGGGAGGGAAGAAGAGCUGGCAAAAGAACACCAAGUGCUGAGUCCCUAAACCAGGACUGUUGAAACAUUUUAGAGGAAGAAGAAGGAAGCCAGUGUGACUGGCAGAGGAUGAGAAAGCCACUAAGAUAAGAGACAGAAGAGGUGAGAAGCAAAGAGGGCUCAUGUAGGGCAUUGAAAGCCACUGUACUGACUUUGGGUUUGUUUUUGUUUCUUUUGAGCUAAAGUUUCUCUGUGUAGCCCUGGCUAUCCUGAAACUUGCUCUGUAGAGUCUGGCCUCCAAUUCAGGAGAUCCUAUCUCCUUGCCUUCCAAGUGCUGAGGUGGGUUUUUUGUUGUUGUUGUUUGUUUGUUUGUUUUGGUUUUCCGAGACAGGGUUUCUCUGUGCAGUCUUGGCUGUCCUGGAACUCUGUAGACCAGGCUGGCCUUGAACUCGGAAAUCCACCUGCCUCUGUCUCCCAAGCGCUGAAAUUAAAGGUGUGAGCCACUACUGCCCUGCCAAAGUGCUGAGAUUUAAAAGCCUGUCUGCACUUUGGAUUCUCUUUCUUUCUUCCAAGCUUUGAUUUUUAUUACUUAUAAAAAGCUGCAUAUUUAUUUUGCUUUCUGACUCUGUACUUGUGCUUUCACCACAAUUUUCUGCUCCUCAAUAAGGAAAGCCAGCUUGAUCCUGUUCCAGACACACUUAGCUCACACACGGAAUCACCAUAGACAGAGGUCCUAAAAUUCAGUUUCCAACAACCACAUGAAGGCUCACAGCCAUCUGUAUAGCUACAGUGUACUCAUAUACAUAUUUAUUAAUAAAUCUUGUUUUAAAUUUUACAACACUUUUAAAGACCUUAAUGAUCCUACAAUCAAGUUCUCAUUCUCUGCAAUGAACAUUCUGAUGAGCUGAAUGGAAGUUUGGUAUUCCAAAUAGAAAAGAGCUGUGGAAAGAAGGAACAACUAACAGCAGAUUGUUUUCAAGUUAUUUUCCUUCCAAGGUUAAAAGCAGGACUUCCUUAUCAUACCAGCUGAAAAUGACCUGCUUGGAGAUUUCACUCUUACCUCUUUACUGGUUUCUUGGGAGAUUAAAAUAAACAAGUUUCACUUGA